CAUAUUACAAUACUUAUCCAUCUAAUACAAUGCUGAAAGAACAGUAAUACUCGACCAAAAAUUUAGGAAUCAAAAGGUAUGACGAAUUUCUGUUUGACUUGAAAACGUUAUUACAGAAAUCGUAUUUUGUUUUCGUGUUCCUGAUUAGUUAAAAAUUUGCGUAAUUAUUUCAGCAUUUUUCAAAUGUAAUUACAUUUCUGCAUUGCCAAAUUGUUUCGAUAUUAGGUAACUUUACUACCCAUUUAUUGUGACAAAUCAGACACACCUUAUAUAUUCGAAGAACUUUGGUGCUCGUCUUGCUGGACGGUUGACAGCUUGAACUGACGUUUCAUUGUGUUUGAAAUUUUCACGCUUCAAACAAGUCGCUCUGUUUCUGCUGCUACUUUUUCAUUUAUAAUCAGUUAAUUUGCCAAUAAACGCAGAAAAUUUGGUGAAAAUGUGAAAAAAAAGCUUGCUGCUCUUCCCGCUGGCCCUGCGGAAGGCUAAUUUGGCUGAGAUUUUACAAGUUAGCCAUCUCCUAGUGGACUGAAUCAACUGGAACCGGCCCUCAAUGUUCUCCGCCGUGAAAUCAUUUUGUUUCUUCGAAACAGGUUCAUCAAUCAACUCGGGAGUGCGAGAGCUCGAGCCUCGUUGCCGAGCCAUGGAUGGCGCCGCGAAAGUUCUCAAUUCUUGAAUGUUCUGCCCUGAAGGAUGCCCAACACAGGAAAAGAAAAUAAUUUGGAAAUAAAUAAUGCUGUGUGGAAA